rnacentral:rRNA from 1 species
AUUGAACGCUGGCGGCAUGCCUUACACAUGCAAGUCGAACGGUAACAGGUCUUCGGAUGCUGACGAGUGGCGAACGGGUGAGUAAUACAUCGGAACGUGCCCGAUCGUGGGGGAUGACGGAGCGAAAGCUUUGCUAAUACCGCAUACGAUCUACGGAUGAAAGCAGGGGACCGCAAGGCCUUGCGCGGACUGAGGGGCAGGUGGCAGAUUAGGUAGUUGGUGGGAUAAAAGCUGACCAAGCCGACGAUCUGUAGCUGGUCUGAGAGGACGACCAGCCACACUGGGACUGAGACACGGCCCAGACUCCUACGGGAGGCAGCAGUGGGGAAUUUUGGACAAUGGGCGAAAGCCUGAUCCAGCCAUGCCGCGUGCAGGAUGAAGGCCUUCGGGUUGUAAACUGCUUUUGUACGGAACGAAAAGCCUCUUUCUAAUAAAGAGAGGUCAUGACGGUACCGUAAGAAUAAGCACCGGCUAACUACGUGCCAGCAGCCGCCGUAAGAC